AGUACGUGCCUGUUCCUCACACUGAGGCGAAGCUCCGCGGGCGCAGCUGGUACGCGGGGGAACUAGCUCCCUCGCCCCGGAGGACGGUUUCAAGCGGUACAGACUCCAGCUCUCCUGAUUUGUCUUACACCCCUCUGCCAUCCGUAUCAAGGGACCCAGCCAAUCACAGAGGUGUUGCAGGGAAAAGCCGCUACAUUUACUAUGGAAAACAUUCAGAGGGCAAUAGAUUCAUUCGUGAUGACCAGCUGUGACCAUUUCCCUGAACCACUAGAGUGCAUGUGUUCCCAUUCUCAUGUUUCUCGAAAUGGGAAUUGUUGGUGGAAAUUACGGAGUAAAAGGAAAAAUGCAUUCUUCUGGGUUAGGUGGUAACCUGAAACGCUAUCAUCGGAACUAUUACUUUCAACUUCUCCUUUUGUUUGAUGGAAAAUAAAAAAUACUUUUUAAGAGAGAA